rnacentral:rRNA from 1 species
CUAGUAACGGCCGCCAGUGUGCUGGAAUUCGCCCUUAGGCCUAACACAUGCAAGUCGAGCGGUAGCACAGAGAGCUUGCUCUCGGGUGACGAGCGGCGGACGGGUGAGUAAUGUCUGGGAAACUGCCUGAUGGAGGGGGAUAACUACUGGAAACGGUAGCUAAUACCGCAUAACGUCGCAAGACCAAAGUGGGGGACCUUCGGGCCUCAUGCCAUCAGAUGUGCCCAGAUGGGAUUAGCUAGUAGGUGGGGUAACGGCUCACCUAGGCGACGAUCCCUAGCUGGUCUGAGAGGAUGACCAGCCACACUGGAACUGAGACACGGUCCAGACUCCUACGGGAGGCAGCAGUGGGGAAUAUUGCACAAUGGGCGCAAGCCUGAUGCAGCCAUGCCGCGUGUGUGAAGAAGGCCUUCGGGUUGUAAAGCACUUUCAGCGGGGAGGAAGGCGGUGAGGUUAAUAACCUUGUCGAUUGACGUUACCCGCAGAAGAAGCACCGGCUAACUCCGUGCCAGCAGCCGCGGUAAUACGGAGGGUGCAAGCGUUAAUCGGAAUUACUGGGCGUAAAGCGCACGCAGGCGGUCUGUCAAGUCGGAUGUGAAAUCCCCGGGCUCAACCUGGGAACUGCAUUCGAAACUGGCAGGCUAGAGUCUUGUAGAGGGGGGUAGAAUUCCAGGUGUAGCGGUGAAAUGCGUAGAGAUCUGGAGGAAUACCGGUGGCGAAGGCGGCCCCCUGGACAAAGACUGACGCUCAGGUGCGAAAGCGUGGGGAGCAAACAGGAUUAGAUACCCUGGUAGUCCACGCCGUAAACGAUGUCGAUUUGGAGGUUGUGCCCUUGAGGCGUGGCUUCCGGAGCUAACGCGUUAAAUCGACCGCCUGGGGGAGUACGGCCGCAAGGUUAAAACUCAAAUGAAUUGACGGGGGCCCGCACAAGCGGUGGAGCAUGCGGUUUAAUUCGAUGCAACGCGAAGAACCUUACCUGGUCUUGACAUCCACAGAACUUUCCAGAAAAUGGAUUGGUGCCUUCCGGGAAC